AACGAACGCUGGCGGCAUGCCUAACACAUGCAAGUCGAACGAGACCUUCGAGUCUAGUGGCGCACGGGUGCGUAACGCGUGGGAACCUGCCCUUAGGUUCGGAAUAACUCCCCGAAAGGGGUGCUAAUACCGGAUAAUGUCUUCGGACCAAAGAUUUAUCGCCUUUGGAUGGGCCCGCGUUGGAUUAGCUAGUUGGUAGGGUAAAAGCCUACCAAGGCGACGAUCCAUAGCUGGUCUGAGAGGAUGAUCAGCCACACUGGGACUGAGACACGGCCCAGACUCCUACGGGAGGCAGCAGUGGGGAAUAUUGGACAAUGGGCGAAAGCCUGAUCCAGCAAUGCCGCGUGAGUGAUGAGGGCCUUAGGGUUGUAAAGCUCUUUUACCCGGGAUGAUAAUGACAGUACCGGGAGAAUAAGCUCCGGCUAACUCCGUG
rnacentral:rRNA from 1 species